UGUGACUGCCAAGAGAUGCGCAUGUGCAGC
rnacentral:piRNA from 1 species